rnacentral:rRNA from 1 species
UCGAACGAUGAAACCGCCCUCGGGCGGACAUGAAGUGGCGAACGGGUGAGUAACACGCGACCAACCUGCCCCUUCGCUCCGGGACAACCUUGGGAAACCGGAGGCUAAUACCGGAUACUCCUCGCCCCCCUCCUGGGGGCCCGGGAAAGCCCAGACGGCAAGGGAUGGGGUCGCGGCCCAUUAGGUAGUAGGCGGGGUAACGGCCCACCUAGCCCGCGAUGGGUAGCCGGGUUGAGAGACCGACCGGCCACAUUGGGACUGAGAUACGGCCCAGACUCCUACGGGAGGCAGCAUG